AGUGAACGCUGGCGGUAGGCCUAACACAUGCAAGUCGAACGGCAGCACAGUAAGAGCUUGCUCUUACGGGUGGCGAGUGGCGGACGGGUGAGGAAUACAUCGGAAUCUACUUUUUCGUGGGGGAUAACGUAGGGAAACUUACGCUAAUACCGCAUACGACCUACGGGUGAAAGCAGGGGAUCUUCGGACCUUGCGCGAUUGAAUGAGCCGAUGUCGGAUUAGCUAGUUGGCGGGGUAAAGGCCCACCAAGGCGACGAUCCGUAGCUGGUCUGAGAGGAUGAGCAGCCACACUGGAACUGAGACACGGUCCAGACUCCUACGGGAGGCAGCAGUGGGGAAUAUUGGACAAUGGGCGCAAGCCUGAUCCAGCCAUACCGCGUGGGUGAAGAAGGCCUUCGGGUUGUAAAGCCCUUUUGUCGGGAAAGAAAAGCAGCAGGUUAAUACCCCGCUGUUCUGACGGUACCCAAAGAAUAAGCACCGGCUAACUUCGUG
rnacentral:rRNA from 1 species